CUACGGGUGGCAGCAGGCGCGAAACCUUUACAAUGCACGCAAGUGUGAUAAGGUGAUCCCUCGUGCUUAUCAAACGAUAGGCUUUUGUCAUGCUUAGUGCGCUUGACGAAUAAGUGGUGGGCAAGACUGGUGCCAGCAGCCGCGGUAAUACCAGCGCCACAAGUGGAGAUCGCUUUUACUGGGUCUAAAGUGUUCGUAGCUGGUUUUUUAAGUUCCUUGUGAAAGUUCUACUGCUUAACAUGGAAUUUGCAAGAAAUACUGGAAAACUUGAGACCGGGAGAGAUGCAAGGUAUUGUUUGGGUAGCGGUAAAAUGCUAUAAUCCUUACAAGACCAACUAAGGCGUAGGCAUUGCAUUAGAACGGAUCUGACAGUGAGGAACGAGAGCUAGGGGAGCGAACCGGAUUAGAUACCCUGGUAGUC
rnacentral:rRNA from 1 species